AUUAAACGCUGGCGGCAUGCCUUACACAUGCAAGUCGAACGGCAGCACGGGGGCAACCUUGGUGGCGAGUGGCGAACGGGUGAGUAAAGCAUCGGAACGUGCCCUGGAGUGGGGGAUAACGUAGCGAAAGUUACGCUAAUACCGCAUAUUCUGUGAGCAGGAAAGCAGGGGAUCGCAAGACCUUGCGCUCUGGGAGCGGCCGAUGUCGGAUUAGCUAGUUGGUGGGGUAAAGGCCUACCAAGGCGACGAUCCGUAGCGGGUCUGAGAGGAUGAUCCGCCACACUGGGACUGAGACACGGCCCAGACUCCUACGGGAGGCAGCAGUGGGGAAUUUUGGACAAUGGGCGAAAGCCUGAUCCAGCCAUGCCGCGUGAGUGAAGAAGGCCUCGGUUGUAAG
rnacentral:rRNA from 1 species